rnacentral:rRNA from 1 species
UACGUAGGGGCCUAGCGUUGUCCGGAAUUAUUGGGCGUAAAGAGCUCGUAGGCGGUUCGGCAAGUCGGAUGUGAAAUCUCCACGCUUAACGUGGAGGGGCCAUUCGAAACUGCUGUGACUCGAGUCCGGUAGGGGAGUGUGGAAUUCCCGGUGUAGCGGUGAAAUGCGCAGAUAUCAGGAGGAACACCGGUGGCGAAGGCGGGUCUCUGGGCCAUAACUGACGCUGAGGAGCGAAAGCGUGGGGAGCGAACAGG